rnacentral:rRNA from 1 species
ACUCCUACGGGAGGCAGCAGUGAGGAAUAUUGGACAAUGGACGCAAGUCUGAUCCAGCCAUGCCGCGUGCAGGAAGACUGCCCUAUGGGUUGUAACUGCUUUUAUUUGGGAAUAAACCCCUCUACGUGUAGAGGGCUGAAGGUACCAAAUGAAUAAGCACCGGCUAACUCCGUGCCAGCAGCCGCGGUAAUACGGAGGGUGCAAGCGUUAAUCGGAAUUACUGGGCGUAAAGCGUGCGUAGGCGGUUGCGUGUGUCGGAUGUGAAAGCCCCGGGCUCAACCUGGGAAUUGCAUUCGAAACUGCGUGACUAGAAUGUGGUAGAGGAAGACGGAAUUCCACGUGUAGCGGUGAAAUGCGUAGAUAUGUGGAGGAACACCAAUGGCGAAGGCAGUCUUCUGGGCCAACAUUGACGCUGAGGUACGAAAGCGUGGGUAGCAAACAGGAUUAGAUACCCUGGUAGGAUACCGU